rnacentral:rRNA from 1 species
GUCUACAGCCAUGCCACCCUGAACAUGCCUGAUCUCUGAAACUAAGCAGAGUCGGGCCUGGUUAGUACUUGUAUGGGAGACCACCUAGGAAGACCAGAUGCUGUAGACU